GAUAUUUCCGUCGCCGACCCUCAACCGAGGGUGUCGGACGUCGCGACCCGUUCGCCACGAUCGAUGCUGAGGGGCGCGUUUCAAGCUCGUAUGCGCGGCCGUUUCGGCGUGUCGCGCGACGAUGGCGCGUUCCCACUGUUUUCGACGCGGACGGUAGCUUUGCGCGCGGGUAAUCGAGGCGGUCCUCUCGUCCGGCGUCUCGUACGUCGGAUGGCGCCGCCUCGACGCCGGUCAGCGACGAAUCUUCGGGCCUCUUUUCGACCCGUCUUGAAACACGGACCAAGGAGUCUAGCGUGCGCGCGAGUCGCGGGGUAUCCGAGGAGUAGUAGCCGUUUCGGCGGCGAACGCUUCUCGUCACGAUACGAAACCCGUGUACGUACGUUGUGCGAAGGCGUAAUGAAAGUGAAAGGCGGCGCUUCGCGCGUCGCCGGGGGAAGACGGUCGACCGAGUACACGUUUCGCGAUCGCGCAUGUAUCGCGACCGGUCACCCGCAUUCCCAGGGCGUCCCGCUCGUACGCCGGCGGCCGGGGUUCGCGCCUCGACCGUCGACGAACUGGGGCGCACCUACAGCGUGCACGCUGGUACCCGAAAGAUGGUGAACUAUGCCUGGCCAGGAUGAAG
rnacentral:rRNA from 1 species